GUGUGUGAUGUCAGAGAGUAGGACAUAAAAGUGAUGGUGUCUGCCGGCUUACUCUUUCUCUUGGGUGAUCUGCUCUGGGGAGAGUUGUGAGUAGGCCUCCAGCCCACAGCCAUGUGAGUGACCCUUUUGAAGAGUGGAUCUUCCAGGCCCAGUCAAGCCUUCAGAUGACUGCAGCCCCAGCCAACAUCUUGGGAGACCCCGAGUCAGAAACCCCCGCUAAGUCACUUCCAGAUCCCUAAGUCUCAGAAACUGAAGAAAAAAAAAAUGGUCCCAGCGUUCACUGCUACUUCUGAGCACCCUCUUUCAGAGCCAGCCACCUGAGGGCCAAUCUGAUGCUCGGGGAGAUGGAGUAUCUUCUUCCAUCACAGUCUCCUGCCGCAUUUCACGUGAUGAUGCAGCAAGAAUUAAGCCAUCUGCAACCUGGUAGGAGGGUCCCUACCAGAACCUUACCCUGCUGGCACCCUGAUCUCAGAUGUCCAGCCUCCAGAACGGCUAAUGACAUGCGGUGGGAUCCUCUCUCACAAUGCUGGGAAGCCACAGAGAGCCACAUCUCCCAGUUGGCACACCAUCAUGAAUGUAGACAACUGAGAUUUGACAGUGUUCCUUUUUGCCAGGUGAUUUUGCCCAGCUGUCGGCUAAUGUAAAUGUUCUGAGCACGUUUAAGAACUCCUUAAUGAUACACCAGAGAGAUUACAAUGGAAAUGCUAAGGAAAGGAACAGCUGGCAUCUCUCCUUGAAAUCCUAUGAGCAGAACAAAUUCAGAGCUUCAAAACAACAAAAUAUGUUGCACCGGGAGAAUAC